rnacentral:rRNA from 1 species
AUACGGAGGGUGCAAGCGUUGUCCGGAUUUAUGGGGUUUAAAGGGUGCGCAGGCGGUGCGUUAAGUCAGUGGUGAAAUCUUCCGGCUCAACCGGGAAACUGCCAUUGAUACUGGCGCACUUGAGCACGGACGAGGUAGGCGGAAUUUAUGGUGUAGCGGUGAAAUGCAUAGAUACCAUAAAGAACACCGAUAGCGAAGGCAGCUUACCAGACCGUAACUGACGCUCAGGCACGAAAGCGUGGGGAGCAAACAGGAUUAGAUACCCUAGUAGUCC